rnacentral:lncRNA from 1 species
ACAAGAAAAUGAGAUGAAUGACAAGUCAACUAUGCUAGUGAAUCGAAAGAGCCCCACACGGCUUCACUAGACUUUAUUUUUUUUCAACAACACCUUUAUGACAAGAUUACAUGAGAUAGAAAUUUAAUACGCAAUAUCCAAUGAACUAAGAAUACACAUCUUACUCUGUAUAAAUAAAAUCGGAGUCAAACACUUCCUCCACGAACUACCAUACCAUCCACACAUGCUACUAGUUACCACAUUAGUCUAUCACCAUAAGGGGGGUAAAUCAUUCUCGAACAUCGGUUAUUCAACUAAAAUAUUCACUUACACAAAAGUCACCCUCACCCUGACGUCUAACUUUGUGACUUCACA